UUGUAGCUCAAAUGUGAGCAUUUUUCAGCUUUAAAUGUAAUUUAUGAUAACUAACCAACAAAGGCCAAUACUCAGUUUUGGUCUAUCAAAACCAGUCAUUUGAAGGGGGAACCUUUUGAUUUAGGUAAUUUAAAGCUGGGACUUACCUCAUAGAUUAAUUUAGAAAAUACUCACCUGAUUGAUAAAACAAUGGGGAGUUUAGGGACCAAUUUCAAGAGUUUUACAAUUAGCUUCAUAUCUAUUCUUUAGCACAAAAAGGAAGGCAACUUCAGACCCUUUAAUUACCUGCUAACUUCUAUAAACUUUAAAGUAGGUAAAAUAGGUAAAUCUUCAGUAAAAUAAUUAUUUUGAGACGGAUCAUCAACAGUCACUUUACACUGGAUCCACACGGCCCUGCGUCAAGACCAUAUUCCUCCAGGCUCUUGCACGCUUCCCCAGCCUCUUCUUAAAACCAUCUGCUUUUUAGUGCAAUCCCUCCCCAUACAUCGAGCCAGAAUUAAAGUACAGUUUUCAAAAAGGUAUGCAGACUUACUCCUGAAGUGCAGGUAUGUUGUUCAAGGUGUACAAAACUGCUGGAGCCAAAAGGGAGAGGAGGAACACGCUGACUUCCACCGGAGGCCUCAUGGUGGAAAACUUUAUUUGGACCUUUUUUGGAAGAAACGUUCAGAUAGAAAUAUCCCCUCUAAACCUCUAAACACGCAUGGUGCUGGAACACGUCUUCUCCACGGCCACGGAGUGAAAGGUGUGUCACCUAUUGCCUUUUGAUCGGUGGUAAAACAAGGAAGCUGCUGCUCCAAUUCGUCUGUUAUCUGGACUAGUCUGAGUGAGCAGCUUGGCUUGUAGUGCUUUCUGUGGAGUCUAUUUAUUCACUUUUUGUUUCACCUGGAGAAGACUUGGACACCUCUUUCGUUUGCUUAUUACUGAACUGGAAGAAUCCUGCAUGCAACUGACACAGGAGUCAAAUUUAAAGAGCCAUUCAUACAUGGCAGACACAAGUUUGGAAGUCCUUUCAUUCCAAGGAAGAGAUAUGAAGAUCAAUUUCAAGCUUUGAUUACAAGACUGGAUUCUUGGCCCCAAACCAGUGGAGGAUGAUUCAGAAAAAGGCAGAGCAGAAAUAGAAGAAGAGCAGAGACUUAGUAUUAGCAUGAUGGAGACAGACAGGCUGGAGAUUGAGAUGGAGAAGGACACAGAAAAGGAUGGGCAGCUCCCCAGUUGCUACCAGGGAGACUCCAGCCAUCGUCCAUCCUACCCUCCUCCACUGAGAAGCACCAUCACUCUGUCAUUCUCAGAAGAAAAGAGGAUAUCUGCUCAUAAAGUGUCCUCCUGUCAUUUGACCCCAUAUGUCACAUCCCUUUGAGUUAGAGCAAAAUUAUCAACACAACUGUGGCUUUAUAGUUUUUGUCAGAAAACUUAGUAAUCAUUGUCGUCUCAUUGCUGUAGUGAUGCUAAGCUAAGCUAAGGCCUUAUUGGUUUACAUGGAGCACAUGCUCAGCACUUGGUUUAGUUUUUACUUGUUUUGCUAAAAAACACAAGCUAACUCUGUAAUUUAUUGUAAAUGUACCUAAUCACAAUAAAUAUUGUCAACCAUUCUG